UCUGCUGGCAAGCUCUCCAACAACUAGCCACCCAUUCAGUCGGCUACUUCUCCACCGACCGUCCACCCAGAUACGCCGGCAACGCACCACCAAUCGACCACCCACUCGGUUGGCUACUUCGCCACAGAUCGGCCACCCACUCGGCCGACUACCUCUCUAGGAACUGGCCUCCUAUGCAGGGAAAAUCCAACCGGCCACCUCACCGCAUGUCCGAGUUUCCAGAUCUGGAUUCUUGGACAGUGAAGGAAAUUCUACAGGGUGAUUGGGAACCAUGGGCUCUCCCUCGUGCAUCCCCUCUUGGUUAUCCUCUGUUCUCUACAGCUCGUCUUGGUAAUAUGUGCAACUUAUGCUCUCGUCAAUGACCGGAUUUACAUCGUCUGAGGAAUUCAAAACUGGACUUGUCGAGACUCGGGGAGCUAGAGGAGUUCAAACAUUUUGGCAACCUGGGAACUUAGAUUUGGAGUGGAAAGACAACGAUGCCAAGAAAUUUUGAUCGCUUAAAACAUAAAAACGACGGACAUCGGUAUAGGGCAUUUGAUCAGCAUUAAAAUAAAAAUCGACUCUCAAUACCAAGUAUAAAAAAACUUGUGUUUUUAAACUAGACACAAUUAAAGUUCUGGAGGUAGUUCCCUGCCCAGAAAUGACAGUUUUAUGAAGAGUACGGACAAACAAUUUCAUUAGUAAGUUUCGAUGGUUACCCCCAUGUCGACAGUGACAAGAUCCGCUUAAGACCUGACUAAAGUUGUUGCCUGACCGAGGCAAUAAUCCAACCGCGCAAACAAGAUUUUAUUGUUUCCAUAUUGAACUUCAUCAUUUUGUGCAGCCAGUUAGGAAUCCCUAGUCAACGAAGCUCUUCUUAUAUAUGUUAUCAUUCUGGGUGGUCCGAAAGGUUAUGUUCAGUUGCCUCUCUUGGAAUGUUUCAAUUGCUAUGGCUGGAAAACAAGUGGCCCUCUCGCCAAGUCGAAGAAAAAGGUACCGGAUCGGGUAUUGGUGGAAGCAGGUGUCAAAGGGCAACAACUUCGAUCCCUCAAUAUCUUAAUUUGGUAAUUGUUGGUUGGGUGCUACGAUUGGAAGCAUUUGAGUAAAUGACGAAGGUAUAUUAGGUGGACUCUGAUGAGGCUAAGAGAGAGGGAGCGG